AUAUAUAUAUAUAUAUAUAUAUAUAUAUAUAUAUAAGUUUGUUUAGCUUGGAGAGCGAUGAUUAUAACCUCUAGCUUAAAACAUGUAUAUAUAUAUAUAUAUAUAUAUAGUGAAUAAUUUGGUCAUAUUACAUAUAUGAGUUAGAUAUUUUUAAUUAUUAGUGGGAUCAUUGAUUUUACUUUGCUUUUAAUAGAAUCUUUAGUUACAUGAGUGGGAUAGGAAAACAAAAGAUGCCAUCGUAUAUAUAGUAGCCGUAAUUCCUUUUGCAUUGUUUACCAUACUAUGUCAAAAUAUUACCUUCAAUUUUUAAUAAAGGUAACAACAAUAAAUUUAUGACAUACGUCGCAAAGGAUCUAUUGAAACUUUAGCCUUAUUCAAGUAAGUAUAAGAUCUCUGCUAUAUUAAAAAUCUUUGAUUGAAAUAUUUGAUUGAAUUUUUGUUACUAUAUAUAUAUAGUUAUUUAUUUAUUUAGACUACAACAGGAAUAAUAGAUAGCUUGGGUUAGAUAAUUAUAGUAAAAUAAAAAAUAUAGUCUAAAGAGUUCUUAAUGUUCACCAGGUUCAUUAUGCAAACAGAAAAUAUACAUAUAUUUAACGGACCAUUACUAUUCGAAUGUAGCUUAGAUUAUUUAUACUGUCAGAACUAACACACAUAUUGAUCUAGCUAUAGGUCUAGAACAAUUUUAUAUUGAAUAUGCAUGUGUCUUUAGAAGAUAACAUGAUACCAAAUAGUUGCUGUAGACGAAUGUUAAUCUAGCUGAUAUUCUAGUGAUCUAGAAAAAAUAGUUGACGUCAGUCAAAUGUUCACACAAAAUGAUUAUACAUUGAGUGAAAAAAAAACCAACCAAAUAUAUGAUUUAAUAUCUCUUGAGGUUCGACUAUCCUCAAGAACAAUAGCAGAAACUACUGAAUUGGAUGAAAUGUAUGACACAACCAUCUUCCAGUAUGCAAACGUAGUUAAUGUAAACCAAACUUGAUCUAGCUAAUAUUGUAGACGAAUGUUGACACAUAAUGAACUCCUGUGAGAUGAAUGUUUAUAUAAUGUGUUUAAAUAUCACAGACUGUGAAGAGCCUCUGCUUCUCCUCCAGAGCAGUUGCAGAGGUUUCCAAAAUUAGAUGUAAGCAUGUAUGUUUCAGCAACCGUCGAUGGAAUGGUCAAAGCUUGAGAGCUUACUACUCUGCAGAGAAGGAUAUUCUUCUGUUCUUGUUUGAUUGACCGUCUAUCACUUGGGCAAGGCCAGAGAGGUCAGAACUACAUCAAAGUUUUGCGAAGGAUAUGUUGUUGUGUGAUAAUCAAAUAAAAAGAGUUGUUUACAGUACUGAUCACAAGUAAAUUAUUUUGACAAAGAAACAAACAGAUUCUCCUCCAGAAACUUAGCAGAUAGUAUAAACAAUCUUAUUGCCUAUGGCUCAGAAGAAACUAUCUGAUUUAAACUUCAAUCUUUACCAAAGAUAUUAAUACGAAAUAAUUCCAAUGAAUAGAUAACCAGAGAGAACAAUAUCAAUGACAACAAACUGUUUUUUUUUUUGGUUUAUUUGUGCAAAAUGCACAAUGAAUAAGCAUUUUCUGAUCAAAAGUCCACAAGUACAUCUCAUGCAGGUACUUGCCGACCAUGUAGGGCUUAACAGAGUGUUCACCAGUCAUUUCUCCUUCUCAAACCUCAAAUUUCAGAACUUUCUUCUUCGUUGCAGAAGAUUGUGAACACCUUUUCAUAACCUUCCGGCCUCCACUUUGAUAGAACCAUCUUCAAGCAAACGGGGAGGAUGGAAGUUCUUGAGUUGCAAUGGAGCGGCCUUUAUUGCCGUAUCGUAACCCAUAACUUUCCAAAAUUUUGAAAGUUCAAAAACUUUGGCUUCUUCACGAGGAAUACGUGAAACAUGAAAGACUGUAUCCACGAUGUAAAAUGUUUACGUAUGUCGUUUGUUGUAGCUUUUAAUCAAAAAAGGAAACAAAAUUUUGAGGUGCUCUAUUAAAGCGACACGUCAGCGUAAGUUUUUUAAAUGAGUUUGAGAGCGACAAGUGGCGAAAGAAGUGUGAAUGCAUUAAAGUCAAUGCAUGUCUUUUAAUAUAUAAGAGCAGGUCCAUCGGGAAGUUCAAGACAAGGUUCUAAAGAAAAAAGAGAAAAAAAUAAAUGAAAAAUGCAAUAGAUAGAACCAGUGUCUAAUUAAGAGAAUUUAGAGUUGGUAAAAACCCCAUACGUGGCGGCUUGGUACUGGCUUGUACCUUUCACACACGAAGGGAAAAAAAAUUGUGCUUCUUUCGUCAUUCUGUUCUUCAAUAUUGUCGAAGUUCUGUUGUUGAUCGAUUUUGUCUCUCUCUUUCUUCGAUAAAGGAUCUUCCUGGGCUCAAACCUGAUCCAUUCAAAGGUUCUCAGUGGGAUGGUUUAGGGUUCUUCGUUCAGUACUUGUGGGUUUUUGGAAUCUUUUCGCGUUAAUCUCCGGUGGAAUUGCGGCGGGGACGUAUAACGAAGAAUCAAAGCGAAAGGUGCAACUUGAGCCUAUGGAGUCAUAGUGACUACCAUUGGAAAGUCAAUGGUGUUUUGCAACAGUUGAGAAAGUUAGGAUCUUGUUUAGAGUCAAUGUUGUUAACUUUCGUGGUGUUGGUAUGGAGGAAAAUGACGUUGGAUCAGAGCCUGGAGCUGAAGCCUUUGGUGAUCACCAAGUCGCUUGUGGCUAAGGACGAGGAUGUGGAUUUGGGGUCUGGGAUGGGUAGAGUCUCUAUCUUCUUUGGUACUCAGACUGGAACCGCUGAAGGGUUUGCUAAGGUACUCAUUAUGGGUAAAAGACUAGCUAGUUGUUAUGAUUUUGUUGUUGUUGACUUGGAUGUGGCUUCUGUUUUAUCAAAACAUUCUUAAAGUAUCUUUACAUUGUACGUUCUGAGUUACGUAGGUCUUAAAGAAAUUCUUGUUUUCUUUUUUACAUUGUAUUAGCAAUAUGGUUUACAGUUUAGUUUUUGGUGUCUCUCUCAGCUAGAAGCAAGCGAAUCAAGAUCAUCGUUGCUAGCGGUAUCAGCCUCUGUGUGUUUAUAAUCUUAGUGCUUGCAGCAUUUGUGUGUUGGAGAUACAGAUUCAAACAAAAUGGUGAGACUCUUUUGUCUCUCUUUUGUUGUCUAUUCAUACGUAGAUGUAUGGCCAAUUCUUAGAUGUGUUUCCAUGUUUUUUUUAUAAGUUAAAACUAUGACUAUAAGCUAUGAACAACCACAUUGUGCUUCUCUCUUAUUUUUCUCUGCAGUUUAAAAUUAAAAAGAAAAAUUAAUUUUUAAGAACCUCAAAAGGGUUCUGCCAUUGGACCUUCACAAAUUUAAUUACCUUACAAGAAGUUCUAAACUUCAUAAAGUACAAAAAUUACAAUUAAACUAAUCAUUAGAACCCAUUAUGGGUUCUAACCAAUGGAGAUGGUCUAAGGGAUCUUUGUCUUCCUCUUUCUCUCAAAAUCUAAUUUUCUAUUUUUUUUUUUGUUAUUCUACCAAUAAGCCCUUUUUAAAAACUAUGGACGACUGGCUAGGGGCGGAGCUAGUGCAUGGACAAUAGGGGCAUGUGCACCCUUAAUAUUAUGGAUAUUAUGCAUUUAGUAAGCAAAAUUACAAAAAAAUAGCUAGGAAAAUGGUUAGACUGAUGUUGUGCACCCACAGAUGUCUCAAGUUCGUUAUCCCUAUUGGCAUUUAUUUUAAUUUGUAUCAGAUGUGCACCCAUAGGAACUUUGUUCUAGCUUCGCCCCUGUGACUGGCCGAGGUCCUAAAUAAUCUCCAAGAGUUUUCUGGAUGGAGGUUAAACCAUGGUACCAUUUCACUUGGGCAAGCAAUGGCCAAUGGUAACUUCUAAAACUUGAAUUGAACUGAUCACUAUCGACUUACGUAUUGUUCCACAAAUUUUUCUCUUACCACCAGGUACCACUGCUUGGUUAAUACAACACCCAUUUUCUUUUGCAUUUACUUAGUUACCAUUUUACAUUCCCUUAUACCGGUUUUGAUUUAUUUGUUUGCUAUUUGUAUUUUGAUAUAACAACAUUUGAGCGAAGUUUCUGAAAUUAGAGUUAUUAUUCCUAAAUCUCAUUGAGAUUUUGAUAUAAGCAAGAAGCAUAUUAACUAUUAAGUAUUACGUAGCAUCGAUUGAGAUUUUGAUAUAAGCAAGAAGCAUAUUAACUCAGAGAUGAGCUGAAGGAAUUUUCCACUCCGGUAAACAAUCUCACUUGCUCUAAGGUACAUUUAGCCACUGGCUCCAACUAUUUUUUGACUUCAUCACCAUUAGCAGACACACAAUCUGCUCCAACUGUAGCUGAUAUUAUGGAAGAAAUUCCAUCCCCUGUUAUUGUCCUCGAGGCCAACUUGGUUUCACCGGACAAUUCUUUGGUCCCUCUAUACUCUCCUGCACAUGGCAGUCCUUCUGUUACGGCAUGUAAUGAGCAAGAUGAUGAGAGAGGAUAUAUGAGUGAUGCUACGGCAAACCUCAACAUGUCACGAGGUGGAAGGCCAAUAAAACCAGUCCAAAAGUUUCAAGAUAUGGAAUGGAAAACAGUAAGAGGAAAGGGUAAAAGGGGUCGUCGAGGCCGUGGAAACUACCCUCCAUCCUCUUAGUAGUUUCAUUUCUCUCUUGUUUCAUUAAGCUUAUGAAUCAUAAGUCUUCUCCUAUGUAAGCUAAUGCUUGGUUGAAUAUGAGGCAUGUCUCAUCAUACUUUUUCAAACUUUAUGGUUGUUUCAACCAUACAUUGUAUGUUUUUUAGUAUUUUAAUUUGAAAGCCUUUUUACAAAAAAAAAAAAGGAAGCAUAUUAACUACUCCCUCUGUUCUUUAAUCUUUAUAUAUAAAGUUGGCUUAUCUGCCCUCUCAGGCGUCCACAUCACUCUGGAGGGGCUUUGUUGCCACGUGGCUACCAGUUUUUUAGUUUUUUUGUUCGUUUGUUUUUUUAUAGUUUCUGGGCUUACAUCAUUUAUUCAAGUGGACUUAAUGAAAUCAUGAUAGGAUCCCAAAAGUCACGGCCUCCAUCUUCAAGAAUUACGACAUCCCAAAUAUAUUGUGAAAUGCAAUUGCUCUCUGCUUUUACAGCUUCCAGUUACGAGAGGAAGUUCUAAGAAGAUGAUCAGAGGAAGAAAGUCGAAGGCUUUAGUCAACUCGGCGCAAACCCAAUAUCAAUAUGACUGAGUUGCUAUUUUCACUUUUUAUCUCAGGUUAUGAAAUGAUUGAGUUUUUUUUUUCGUAGAAUGCAUCGAGAUAUUAUGUGAUCUACUGUUCGAAAUUGAGUUCAUUGUUUAAACAGAUGUGCACCUUUAGGGAUCGUAUUUGGGAAUGUGAUUAGUCAGUAGUUUUUUCAAAUAAAAUGAUCGUAUGUAGAAGAUUUGUUUUCUUUCUUAUUUUUCUUUGCUGUGUUGCAGUUCUGUUUUUUUAAAUGCAGAUUUAGUUGUAGUGAGGUCGGGAGAUUAUAAAAAGAUAUACACAUAUGGCAAAAUAAUGAGAAUUUUUUGAAAACAGCUUCGACUGCUGAGAAGGACAAUGGUGAAUGAUGAUACUGCCGUGGAUAAUUAGAUGACACUUUCUCCACUUCAGUGUUUCUGAUUCCAGCUUCUUUAUUAAGCUUCACUUUUUUCUCUUCCGGUGCAGUCCACAAGAGUGUCUGGUGGAGUACCAAUUGAAAUGCAGCUUGGUCUACUGUCUCCUCUAUAUUUGAGGAAGCUCUUUGAACUCAUGGGAACUACAUACAUUAAGCUGGGCCAGUUUAUAGCAUCUGCGCCAACUUUUUCCCCACCAGAAAAUGUCAGAAGAUUUUCAGAACCCUUCAACAAAGCUCCUCCAGUUCCGUUUGAAGAAGUUCAUAAAAUUUUGCAAGAGGAACUUGGUAGACCCAGAGACAGCGUAUACGAAUAUGUUGACCCUACACAACUUGCAUCAGCCUCAAUAGCACAAGUCCAUGAACCAUGGCGCAAGGCUUAGAGGUUAACAAGUGGAUGUCGUGAUUAAGGUCUUGAAGCCUGGAAUAAAAUAUUUCUUAGUAGCAGAUUUGAACUUUAUCAACGAUGUUGCCCGUAUACUGGUAUGAUCUCAAGUAGCUGUUGAGAAUCACGUCUCUUCUGUUUUAAUAUAGAGUUAAUGCCAAGUUAUUCUCUAAACGUAUAUCCUUACUCUUGCUUAGAAAUUCCGGAAGUGUUUUCGUUACAACCAUAUGAUCAGAGUUUUGAUGUUUUGUUAUCUUUUUUUUUUGUUGGUCUCUAUCAUAUCUAACGACAGCUCUUUUUUCUUUUGUUGGUAUUUUUUCUGCCUGAUUUCAGCUCUAUACGCUCAUAAAUGGCUUGAGUUCAAGCUUCUAGACACUGUUACAGUUUGCACGCCACCAAGUUGUUAAGGUAUCUUCUCCUUCUUUGUGUGAUUUUCAACUUUUUCUAAAACUAAUAUGCAUCCCUAUAAUGCACAUGAGGUAUGUCUUAUGAAUAUAUCAUUGGUCUUAGUCCAAGUGAUUUAGUUUGUUUAGAUGUCUAAGCUUAUAUACGUAUCUCCAUGACCAAAAAUCAGGUAUGUUCUUAAUUCUAUUUUCUCCAGAAAAAUGAGACCACUCAAAAUUGUCUCUUGAGUUGUCUUGAUCUUGAUUCUUUUAUUUUCCAGGAAACAUCAUGGUUUUUUAUGCCAUGACUCAAACCGAGACUGUCAGACGAAAAAGCAAGAAGAGAAAGAAGAAGAGCUUUUAAGGAUUAAAGAUGUUAGAGCUGGUGAAGAGGACGCUGCAACCAGUGACAAGAUCAACGAACAGAGAAGCAGAAUAACAAACCUGAUAUAGAGUUCCUGAACAGCAAGAUGAUCUUUGCAAACUUUCGGUGUAUUGUGUGCUUUGGCUUCCGCUUUGAGUAAAAUAUGUAUAUGUUUCACAAGAUUGAGUAUUCAAAGAUAUUGAUAUAUGUAGAGAGCUCAAAGAAAUCUUAGGGCUGGUCAAGAGAGAGGUACAGUGUCCACAAUAAUAUAUGAUCAUCUCGAUAAAUAGUUUGCUUGAUUAUCAAAUUGUAUCUUAGAAAACUGCAACAGUCGGGUUUUUAUAUAUUGACUUACAACUACACUUAUGUUUCACAACCAGCUAAACAUAACGCAAACUUACACUGCAUGUUUUUAGAAAUUAACAUCGAUUCUAUAAAUGGACAGACCCAACACAUAAGAAACUCAUACAGACAAUGUAACAAAUGGGCCCACGUGAAUUUAGUGAAAGGAAGAAAACUAAAAUUACCUCACCAACACAAUUAGCCCCCAAUACUGCUACCAAGCUAACAUGCAUAGCCUAAUUUCAUAAUAAUAAUCCCAUUUCUUUCGUCUCACCUCCUUCACAGAUUCAAGCUUACUAGCAUACAAAGCACUUUAUAUGCUACACCCAAUAAAUCUACAACCCACACAUAAUACAAAUAUUAAAACCAUACAACCAACCCUGAAGAUAUAUAAACACAAUACAUGUUUUACGUUCACUAAUACAAACACAGAGAAACCACAUAUUAUAUAACAAACAACAUCCCGCGGGUGUAGGAGUUAAAUGGAUCAAAAAAAGAAUUUUGAACUCAUUAAAGAAUAAAACAUACGAACCACCAUCGAACGUAUCAAAAAAAUAAUUUUACACUCAUUAAAUAAAAUAUACGAACCCGGCGCGUAGCGCCGGAAUACCACUAGUAUUACAUAUUCUAG